GGGCCAGAGCGGGAGUUUUGUCCGUUGUGUCCCGCGAAUCGCCGGCCGGAGGGAAGGGCCGUCAGGCCGGCGGGUGGCUU
rnacentral:sRNA from 12 species